rnacentral:lncRNA from 1 species
AGUGAAGAGGAAGGGAAAAGCCUGCCUGGAGUGUGUGUUAACUCCUGAAGGUGUCUCCCUGAAGGGGAUGAAAAAUGGAUAAGUGAUAGAGACGUCUCCUGAGUACACCAGGAGUGACCCAUGGGACUUGGACUUGAUUGCAGUCUGCUGAAGACCAGCAUCACAACAGGAGGCUGGUUUGGCAUCCUGAAAUGGGACCAGCUCUGUAUUCACAUCUGCAAGCUGUGGACUCUGCUGCUGUCACACAGCCUUCAGAACUGCUGAAGGUGGUGGAUUUUUCAACUCCAGCUUCGGCUUAGCCUGGCAGCGAACCAGACCAUGGAGAUGCUCUGUCAGGAUACACAUUAAAGACAUGAGUUGAAGACACCAAAAAGCAGAAAAAAAUGCACUAAGAUCCCUAUCUCUAGUACCACUCACAGACAAAUAUUACUUCUAAAUCUAAGCCAAGAGUGAAGCUGGUAUGGGAGAAGCAGCAUUGUUAGAGGAAGGAAUUUAGCAAUGUCACCUUCAGGUUUGAUCUGACUGUGAGUCUGAAGAGCCACAUGGUGGUUUGUGCUGGGACAGCACCAUGCCUUUCACAUCUCAUCUACUACUACAUGAACUCCGGCUCCACAGGAACUUGCAAAAUGAACCCCACCAUAAGAAGGUAUCUCUCAGUUGACAUUGUACAAGUUCAUCUGUAUUGCACCAGCUGUUUUCCCUCAGCUCCCAAGAUGAUCAAACUAAUGAACUGUAGCAUGAGGUUAUGUGGAAUCUCCCAGGCCACACCAGCUCAUGCACUUUGCUGGGGACAAAGCCUGCCAUUUUCUUUGCAGACUGAAGAAGUCUCCAGCACUGGUGUCCUUGAAACAUUUUUCUAUUGGGCUGAUUCUGAACAAGUAGCUCCUGUAGCCACAGACAUCCUUGUGCUCAAAGGUGAGGAUUGUUUCUGUUGCUGCCCAAGCCAGGAAGCAGAACUUUAUAGUUGCAGUUGUCUUGGCCAAUGCUCCCCACCACCACCACCAGUGGUGUGGCAAAAUGAGAGAGGACAAGAACCACUCCCAGUCCUGAUCCACAGCACCAAGUGAUUUGUUUCUGACCUGUUUUCACGUUAUCCUCAAGAGGAGUUGCAGAGAUGUCCAUUACAACCUUAACAUGUAGGCUGCAGGUACAGUAUAGAGAAAGCUCCAUCACCUUGUGGUACUAACAAGAGGUAGGAAAAAAAAAAAAACCACAAAAAAAC